UACAUGAUACCAAGCUGGUAUAGACACUAGAGAUAUAGAGUAGAGUACAGAGCACAGAGCAGACUCGAUACCUACCAACUAUUGAGUAUAGUAGUAUAUAGUCACACAAUUUACAUUAGCUGAGUAGAAAGAAAACAAAUUACUCGACAGUGUAACUUAGGAAGACGACUCUUCUUCAAGGGCAAUAAUUGAAUGGAUUCAAUUGGAAUGAGACAAAAAAGGUGAUGCAUUGCGGCUCCGGGCUCCAGUACUGAACCUACGCCCAAAAGAUCUAACAGAAUCGAUAGGUGAGUAAAGGUGUUGCAGUUGCAAGAGCCACACAUCGACACCGAGUAUAACACACGUCUAUGAAAUAAUAGCCGAAGAUAAUGAGGAGUAUCAACAAAUAAGCAUCAUCUCAGUGUAGAAGCAUGCAUACAACUCUAACAACAAAGUAUAAGAGCAAUAUAAGUAAUGUUAAUCAAUAAUCGUUUAUCGU
rnacentral:lncRNA from 1 species